UGUUUUGAUGGGAAUUGCAUUAAAUCUGUAGGUUGCUUUGGGUGGUAUGGACAUUUUAACAAUGUUGAUUCUUCCCAACCAUGAGCAUGGUCCGUUUUUCCAUUUGUUAACAUCUUCUGCUAUUUCUUUUCUCAGGGUUUCAUAGUUCUCUUUAUAGAGAUCUUUCAUGUACUUUGUUAGAUAUAUUCCCAGGUAUUUCAUCUUCUUUGGCACUACUGUAAAAGGAAUAGAGUCUUUGAUCAUAUCCUCACCUUGACUAUCGUUGGUGUAUAUAAAAGCUACUGAUUUUAGGCAUUGAUUUUGUAUCUUGAGACACUUCUAUAUUCCUUGAUCAUUUCUAAGAGUUUUGUAGUUGAGUCCUUGGGGUUUUCCAGGUAUACGACAGACUUCAAGUUACACUACAAAUCUACAGUGAUUAAAACAGCAUGGUACUGGCACAAAAAUAGAGACGUAGAUUUAUGAAAUAGAAUAAAGAACUUAGAGAUACCCUUCUUUUCUGAUGAAACACCAAAUGGCAGAUGACACCGGUGCAGCGGGAGGGCCUGGAGGCCCGGGGGGGCCCUGGAAUGGGAGGUCGUAGUGGUUUCCGUGAAGGCUCCAGCAGUGGCAUCCGUGGCUGGGGUCGCGGCCAGGGUCGGGGCCAGGGCCGGGACCGAGGCCGCGGAGCUUGCGGAGGCAAGGCUAAGGACAAAGAGUGGAUGCCCGUCACCAAGCUGGGCCGCCUGGUCAAGGACAUGAAGAUCAAAUCCCUGGAGGAGAUAUAUCUUUUCUCUCUGCCCAUUAAGGAAUCUGAGAUCAUUGAUUUUUUUCUUGGGGGCAUCUCUCAAGGAUGAAGUUUUGAAGAUUAUGCCAGUGCAAAAACAGACCCGUGCUGGUCAGCGGACCAGGUUCAAGGCGUUUGUUGCUAUUGGAGUCUACAAUGGUCAUGUUGGUCUGGGUGUUAAGUAUUCCAAGGAAGUAGCCACUGCCAUCUGAGGUACCAUCAUCCUGGCCAAGCUCUCUAUUGUCCCAGUGCGGAGAGGCUACUGGGGGAAUAAGAUUGGCAAGCCUCACACUGUUCCUUGCAAGGUGACAGGCCGCUGUGGCUCUGUGCUGGUGCGUCUCAUCCCUGCUCCUAGAGGAACUGGCAUUGUCUCAGCGCCUGUGCCUAAGAAGCUGUUAAUGAUGGCUGGGAUUGAUGACUGCUACACCUCAGCCAGGGGCUGCACUGCCACCCUGGGCAACUUUGCCAAGGCCACUUUUGAUGCCAUUUCCAAGACCUACAGCUAUCUCACUCCUGAUCUCUGGAAAGGGACAGCGUUCACCAAGUCUCCUUACCAAGAAUUCACUGACCAUCUUGUCAAGACCCACACCAGAGUCUCUGUGCAGAGGACCCAGGCUCCAGCUGUGGCUACAACAUACGGUUUUUAUGCAAUAAUAAAGUGAAUUGAG